rnacentral:rRNA from 1 species
GAUGAACGCUGGCGGCGUGCCUAAUACAUGCAAGUCGAGCGAACAGACGAGGAGCUUGCUCCUCUGACGUUAGCGGCGGACGGGUGAGUAACACGUGGAUCACCUACCUAUAAGACUGGGAUAACUUCGGGAAACCGGAUCUAAUACCGGAUAAUAUAUUGAACCGCAUGGUUCAAUAGUUCAAGACGGUUUUGCUGUCACUUAUAGAUGGAUCCGCGCCGCAUUAGCUAGUUGGUAAGGUAACGGCUUACCAAGGCGACGAUGCGUAGCCGACCUGAGAGGAUGAUCGGCCACACUGGAACUGAGACACGGUCCAGACUCCUACGGGAGGCAGCAGUAGGGAAUCUUCCGCAAUGGGCGAAAGCCUGACGGAGCAACGCCGCGUGAGUGAUGAAGGUCUUCGGAUCGUAAAACUCUAUUAUUAGGGAAGAACAGAUGUGUAAGUAACUAUGCACGUCUUGACGGUACCUAAUCAGAAAGCCACGGCUAACUACGUG